ACUUCCGUUUGCCGUGUAUGGAACGCGAUGAUGAUUGCUCGUCUCUCAAUACUGACGUUUCAUUCUUUCUACGUAUACAUGAUAUUUACGGUGGGAUCUUGAAGUGAUCGAUGUCCAACCGUCAACGAAGGAGGUAACAAUACUACAUCAAGCUAAUCGACUAAUUAUUGCCAGGAACGACUAAUGGUUAAAUGUACGAUGUGAAAAAUAAUCUUUCAUUUAAAUCCUCGUUGAUCAUGGUUGAGAUCGAGCGGGAAGAAAACGUCGAUCGUCACUCACCGUCGACGACCACCGCAUUGUCAUCUUUUUCGUCGUGAUGGACCUUCUCCAACGAUUCGAAGAUCAUCGAUUUUCCUAGCU